GACGAACGCUGGCGGCGUGCUUAACACAUGCAAGUCGAGCGGUAAGGCCCUUUCGGGGGUCCACGAGCGGCGAACGGGUGCGUAACACGUGAGCAACCUGCCCUUCACUUUGGGAUAACUGCCGGAAACGGUGGCUAAUACCGGAAAUGACUUCCUCACGCAUGUGGGGUGGUGGAAAGCGUACCGGGGGUGGGGGAUGGGCUCGCGGUCUAUCAGCUUGUGGGUGGGGUGAUGGCCUACCAAGGCUUCGCCGGGGAGCCGGCCUGAGGGGGUGACCGGCCACCCUGGGCCUGAGGCACGGCCCAGGCUCCUACGGGAGGCAGCAGUGGGGAAUAUUGGACAAUGGGCGCAAGCCUGAUCCAGCAACGCCGCGUGAGGUAUGACGGCCUUCGGGUUGUAAACCUCUUUCGCCUGCGACGAAGCGAGAGUGACGGUAGCAGGUAAAGAAGCACCGGCCAACUACGUG
rnacentral:rRNA from 1 species